AGUCAUACCUUUCUGCUCUUGUCAGACAAUUAAGGGGUCUUUGAAUACUUCAGCCCUAAUAAUUUGCUUCCUAACAUACAUAUUGCAGUGCUUACCUAAUUUUAAAUAUUCUUUUGUUUCAACACCUAAUUUUCUAUUUUGAUCUAUCUUUAUGUUUACAAUAUAUUUUGCUCUGUGUUCAUUCUUUGAUUUCAGAACUUCAAUCUUUCUGAAGCGUGUUUUCAGAGUUUCCUUUGAGUUUCUUUAGUGGAAUUCUGCUGGUGGUGUUUUGUUUUUUGUCUCUAAAUAUGUGAUUUAGCCAUAGGUUGAUGAAUAUUUUUCUUGGUUGAGAAUUUCAGAAUGGCAUUAUUAUUCUUAACAAAUAAUAUUGUUUAUUUUACCUUUCAUGCUUUCAGAUUUCAAUAUGAUUAAAGGUAAUUUGAUUUUUCUAGUGCUAAUUGAAAUAUUUUUCCCUUCCUGAUUGUUUACUAUUUCUCUAGGAGAUAUGUAGAUGUAGGUUUAUCUCCAUCGUAGCUUGCUUAGCAUGCAUAGAAGUUUUGAAUAUGUGGAUUAGUGUCUUACAGAACUCUAGAGAACUUUCAGCCAAAAUACCAUCACAUAUUGUCCCUUCCCCGUUCCCUUCCUCUAUGAGAACACUCACUAAACACAUGCUACACUUUCUCACUGUAUCUUCCAUGUCUCUUCAUGAUUCUGUCCACAUUGUGCCUUUUUUUAAAUUUUCUGUAAUGCAUUCUGAAAUAUUUAUGAGCUCUCACCAUGGCCAUGUCUAAUCUGAUGAGUUCAUUUUUGAGUUUUUAAUUUAAAAUACUAUAUACAAACUACUUUUCAAAUUUACUACAUCAACUUUUUAGUCUCCUAAAAAUAUAUUCCUUUUUUUAAAUUUUUUGAAAGCAAAUGUGCUUUAUAAUCUAACAGUGAUAUUUCUACUAAUGAACCUCUGUGGAUCUGUUUGUACUCUUUUUCUGCUUUCCUUUCAAAUGGUGGAAUAUCAUUUCCUUGCGUACUUAGAUGCCUUUGAAUGACAAAGAUUUAUUUUUCUCUGAAAAUUAUUAUUGUGCACUUUUGCAUAUUAGUAAGAAGAAAAUUUGCCAAAGAGAAUUUGAAUUUUUUGUGAGUCUACUAAAGGCACCACCAUUCUGGGACCACAUUAUAUUAAUUCUUGGCCUAAAGGUGUUUGGACGUAUGUUUGGACAGCACAUUUAAACAAUUUUUAAAUUAAUUGCUGUAAAUCAUUAAUGAUUGAGUUUCUUUAAAUCUGUCCAAUCUCAAGUCAUUUUUAUUUGCCAUUUCCAGGGAAUGUGAAAUGAGACUAAUUUACCUCUGAUUCUUCUUUAUACUGAGGAGAUAAAUUUUGGUGCUAGCUUUAGGGAAGAGCUCCUGUGUGAUGCCCUAUCUUGGGAAACACUAUGUAUUUCUUUACUGUCCUAUGUGAUGUAUGACCAUAGGAAUCUGCACUCAUUCAUUUUGCUACAUGUCCGUAGGGCAAAAUCAGUAUCAGUGUUUAGGUGUAUUUUGUCUGCUCCCUGCAUUCCCAUGGUUUUAACCUUAUCUUUUACUUUUUUUUGUGAACAUACCAAUGCUUCAAUUUUUUUCCAGUAAUAUAAUCAACUAUACUAUAAGAGAAAAAUUUCGAUAAAACACAAAUUUCAUGUUUUCCUACUCUAAUUGGCUUUUACGUAAAAAAUACAGGUAAAAUUUAUUUGUGCUUUUUUGCUAUUUCUGUUUUGCUAUUUUCUGUUUGUCUAUGUCUUCACCACAUAGACACAAUUAGGGAAUUUUGUACACUCUUGUGCCAACUGCUUUGACAGUAACAAAAUGUAUUUCUCGAACUCCUAGGUAUAAAACUCAAGUAUCCACUAUUUAAAUUCUUUUUUGCUCACUUCUAGUAUGUUUCCAGUCUCAAUAGAAAUCGAUGCCAAUCCAGAAAUACAAGCAUUAUUCUAAUACUUCUCACACAUUACUGGUAUGGAUGACAUUUUCUAGAUCUCCUUAAAUACUAUCAUUUUUCACUACUUGUAUCUUAACUGUUAAGUUCAACAUUUUCUGUAAUAUUAAUAUAUUGUGAAAAUUUCCUUUCUUUCUUAUUUGUCCCAGGUUCAAUGUUUUGCAGUCUCUACCUCACCCUGUGAAGCAUAAACAUUGUACAUGCUGUACAAAUAAUACAUCGUUCAUGUACUUAGAGAUUGCACAAUUUUUAUUUGGUUGACAAUAGCUAAUGUUUUCUUCUUCAUUUUCUAUUUCCUGAUUUUUCUUUAUUUAGUAUAUACUACACUGCCAUAAAAAUAAGAACGUUUUACAAACUAAAGCAAAAGGAACCCUAGGAAUAAAAUGCACAAAUAAAAUAUAUAAACAUACGUUUAGGUGUACCACGUACACUUGUAAUUUAUUUAGACUUUUAAUUUUAGUACAAUUUUAAUUAAAGUCUGUGUAUUAUCUGUCAUCGUCUUAGUAUUUUUUAUAUAACAAAUUGUGUAAAUCAAAAAGUAUCAAUGUCAUUGUAAACUAUCUUGGCAGAGGUUGAUCUCCAAGGAAUAAUUUCUCUCCUAAAUUAUGCCAAUCCAAAUUUCACUCUACCGUCAUUCUUUUCAUCAGUUUCAGAGGAAUAAUAAAUUUCAAAAUUGUUCAAGGUACUUCUUUUAGUUCAAGUAACAUUUGACAGGUGUAAAACUGUAGACAGACUGAUACAAACGUAUUCUAAUUGACUCAAAAUUAUAUGGGACCUAUUUUAAAAUCUAGAUUUUAAAAUGUCGUGUCAACAUACACAUGUUCUCCUUGUGAAAUAAUUGUUUUUUAUUCUCUGGAUAGAAUAAUUUAAUCUUUAAACCUUCCAUUCACUCUUAGAAACAAUAUAUUACAUAAGGAUAUGCUUAUAAAAAUAAUUCCCAACUAGCUUUUCAGUUCAGAAAUAUAUGUGAAGAAUCAUCAAACAUCUAAUGGAUUUCAAGGAGAAAUGGGUUAGUAAUUUAUUCCAUAUGUCUCAAUUUUUCCUAGACUCAAGGCUUCCUUUAAAAUAAUUGUAGGCAUUUAAGAAACCAUGCAAACUAAAAAGAAGAAACUGUGACGCUGCCGCUUAGGCUUUUUAAGUCUUUGGACAUGAUUCAAUAUAUUUUUUAAAUUGUAUCUUAAUUAGACAUUGUGAGUUCACCAUCUUCCUGUCAAUACAGCAUCCAAGCUGAUUAUCAUAGAUUACAAGUUCAACUAUCAACUGUGUUCUGAGAGUCUAAAAAAAUAAAUGAACGUAUUUGUUUGGGUAUUCUUAAAGCAGGAGUGAGGACACAGCGAAAGUGAGACAAGGAAAAGAGAACAAAAUAAAACAGGAAAGACAGAAAAGCCAAUACCACACGUGUUAAGAGUUUCAAGGAAAAUAUGUUUGGAGUUCCUGGCAUAGAGAAUGUCACAAAGACAUGUUUUCAAUAGUAGUGCUAUCCCGAGCGCAGAGAAGACCCAAAGAAAGCCCAAGUGGCUGCUGGAACAAAAUCAGACACCGUGCCACCUGUCCACACUCCUUGGCUCUGCCAUCAUGCUGAAGAUCGCUUUAAAGGACUGGCUUCCCUCCCCCCAAAAUUAAAAGAGCACAGACUGAGAAACUGAAUGUGGGAGACAGCAGUGGAUUAUGCUGUUCUCAGGGGUCACCUCAGGUUUGGAAGCAUUCUUUCAAAUUAACCCAUCUCAGGCCAUCUGCAGAGAAGAAAGGUGGUACCUAACUUUUUUUCUUGUCGGCAUUUGGUAGGGGUGUUUUAUUGACCAAAUAUGUUCCCACAACCUCGUUUUUUGUGACUAACUAAAUAUAGUAGAGUUUUAAAUUUUAUCAUCAAAAUCUAUAGACAAUUUUUGAUGAAAAUAGACUCCAUCUCUAUGUCCUGCUUUUCUUCUUCUUAUUAAUUACAUUGCUGUAUAAAAGAACAAGACUUCAGCAUCAAGAAUAUCUUGUCUCUUGGCAUUGAAUUUAUACAAGGUGCUCUUUCUUUAAUGCUGUCUCAAAGGACAUAUUUUUACUCAUUAAAAAGGAAGAUCGGAAUCUAGUUGUAUGCACUGCUCCAACAUAUUAAUAAUUAAAAUUAGGAGGUAAAUGUGGUCAAAGCUAUAGAAAGACUGAGAUGUCAUUUACAUCGAUUACUCUAUAGCACUCUACAAACAGAAAUUGUUAAAUAAUAGUUUAUAUAAAUAUUUUGUAGCAUUUCAAAUAUUUGAGUGCUUGAAGUUUCUCCUCUUUUAUAGUUCAGAUUAUCAAUUUGAAGACUUACUCCGCUAGUUAAUAUGUUUUUAGUCUCGUUUGAGUAUUAUAUAAAAGCAAUUUUCAGUUAAAUGUGUUCCGCUUACAUAAAACGUUACAAAUUAUUGAGGAUUUAAUUACUUAUUCAUGUUCCUGUAAUGUCUUUAGAAGAUUUUCUUAUUAUUACCUAUCAAUAUAUGUAUGCUUUGUCAAAGAAAAAUCAAACAUAUAUAUCAUUGAAAUUGAAACUUUUUAAAAGUACUUAUUAAUUCUAUUGAAAAACCACAUCCAUAGGAACAAUUACAAUAUAAUAUUGUGAACAUGUAAACAUAUACCCUAUGUCUAUUUUAUGUAUAAGCAUGUAUGAUUAAAAAUAUAGUGAAGAAUUUUUAAACCUAGUAUUAUAAAGUAAAAAUUAGUUAACUUCCGAUGAUUAUUUGUUAAUUAAGAUAAAAUUAUUUUGAUUUGGGUGAUUUUAAAUAAAGAAAAAUAUUAAAUUACAUGACAAAAAUUCUUUAUAAAAUGUUUAUGAUUUUUACAUUGGUUUUAUCACUUUUCCCACUAUUUUAUUUUAAGAUGACCUGCCUUGUUUAAAACACUGUAUUCAUCUUAGUUAAAUUAGAUUCCAUUUGUAAAAUAAUUAACAAAUGAUUUGCUCUAUUGUACAGUGCGGUUAUAAACUGAGUCAGUAUCUCAAGAUUUGAUCCCCAUUAUCAUCAUCUGUGGCCCUAUUUGUUUUAUAAAUGUAUUGUCUUUUUCCAUGCCUGUCACAUCUCUAUUGCUCUUUCAUUUUUCUCUUUGUCCCUUAUAGGGAGCAUUGCCUAUCUCUAGAUUAAGCAAAAGUUGCAUCAUAAAAAAGCACAAUAACCUGCUCAAUCUUUCUCACACAGAGAAAUGUUUGUUAAGUAAUUAAAGUGUAGAUGAUGAUACAAAGAGCUUGAUUAAAUUAGAUGCCAAAGUACCCUUGUGAUUCAGAAUAUGAAUGGUAUUUAAUUUCUUUGAAAUCAUUAAUUGCUGAGUGAGAUUAAUUAAUGCCAAUAUUCCAGAAGAUGUUCCAGUCAGUAAAAUGUAUACAACGUGCAAAAGAUUCAGAACUCUGAAGGGCAACAUUAUUCUAUAAUUAAGAAUUAAGAAUUAAUUCACAUUAAUUACUGGGGAGAAAUACUUUUUAAGAAUUAAUGACUGAGAAAAUGUUUUUAUUUUUUAUUUAGAAAAUUAUUUUGUGCAUGAGCAUUACCGCAAGUUUUGCAAGAAACAUAAAUUUAAAGAAACAAUUAUGUGCACAAGAUGAAUUUAAUAACAUCUUGAUAUAUUCCACGAUUGCGGUUUUAUUUGGUAAAUCUUUCAAGGCACACCAUUUAAAGAGAAUAAAUGAGUCUUGGAAAUCUUGUAGGUAAGGGUAAAUAUUAGGAUGCAUCCAGUUACAUUUACACACACAUACAGUUACAUUUACACACACAUACACGCAUACAGACUGAGUCACGUGUGUGUAUAUAUAUAUAUGAAUUUACCAAUUGAUGUUAACUAAUAUUUAUAAGAGCCAGUUGGAUUGAUAUAUAUUGUUGAACCUGAAAAAUAUUUAUUAUAUACAUGUUUAAAAUACAGAAAUAAAUAGCAAUUGCACUAGGCAUUUGAAACUGUACUAAAAUAUAAGCUGUGAACAUUUUGUGAUCAUUACAAAUUCUUACACUGAAUAAAUAUUUUUAUUUUUACAAUAUUAA
rnacentral:lncRNA from 1 species